rnacentral:lncRNA from 1 species
AGCUUCAACUUCAUCAACAGCACCAUCCCCAGAUUAGAAAGGAAAUUAAGCCUCUGCUGGUAGUGCUCAGUAAUGGGUUUUCUGGGUAUUUGCUUUCUUGUCCUUUUGAUGUUGAAAAUUGCUGCUGCACAACCAUUCACUGACCCUAUUGAAGGUUCCUUUUUAUUUCUUUUGUAAUAUGGUUUUCCUCAUAACCUUUUGUUUUUUAAAGAUUUUAUCGGGUUGUUGUAGGUCAACAACUAGUAGAAGGGGAGCCUUGGGCAACCGGACCAGGAGGCCACUGGUUUGAGCCGUGGAAACAGUCUCUUAUACUCCCUCCGUUCCAAUCUAUGUGAACCUGUUUGACUGGGCACGAAAUUUAAGAAAAAAUGAAGACUUUUGAAAUUUGUGGUCCUAAAUAAUUCAAAAAGGGGCUCAUAGUAUUUGUUUGGUUAUAAAAGUUUCUCAUUAAGGUAGAAUUGUAAGUUUAAACUACAUUAUUUCCAAAUUUAGAAAGAAGUCAUUCUUUUUGGAACGGACCAAAAAAGAAAAUAGGUUCACCUAAACUGGAACAGAAGAAGAAAUGUAGGGUAAGGCUGUGUACAAUAGACCUUGUAGUCCGGCUCUUUCCUGAACCCCGCGUGUAGCCUUAGUGCACCAGACUGCUUUUUUUUUAGGUCGACAGCUAGUGUUGAAAUAAUUA